AGCCCGCCCCCCUGGGCUGUAGAUGCGGAGCUGGCAGCGCCCUGAGGUCCCCCCCUGAAUCCCCGAACCGGUCACCGUCCCCCGCCGGCGCAGCCCGGAGGCCAGGAGGCGGCAGGGACACGGAGCAGUUGGGCUUUAAACGGCUUUCCUGCAGGUUUUAGCAUGCUCGGUGCUACAGAGACACCAAAAUCGCAGUGAAAUGCGGAGCUACCCAUCUGCCCCAGUUCAAGAUGAAACAAGAAGCACUAGUGAUCUCAGCGCAUUCCUGUGGCAGGGGAAGCUUGGAGCAGGUCCUCACAGAAGCCAGCCCUGGAGUCCACUGCUCCUCCACCUCUGCCAUGCAAACCCAAUACAUCUUCCGUCCAAGUAGUCAGAUUUAAGCAGGUAACUGUUUUGAAU